AGAUGAUGAACAGCAUCACCGGAGGAUCGGGGUCAUCGUCACUUCCUUUCGGCGUCCCGAAUCCACUCAGCAUCUUCUCUCAAGGACAAUCAUCAUCUGGUGGACGCAGACCUUCUGACAGUGGAUCGGGAUCGUCUGGUGGUGGAUCUGGAUCAUCUGGCGGUGGAAU